GUUCAUCUUCAAUGAUUCUUAUUUUCUUCAACAAUAGUUCAUCUUCAAUGAUUUUGUACAUGCUGCUAGAUUAUUCAUGGUUAUCAUCUCCUGCACAUGGCGAUAUCUGGUGGGAUUGAAGAGUUUAUUCAGUGCUAUGAUAGGAGUAUAUGACUCAGUGAAAAUUGUUAACGGUGGAUAUCCAACCAAUGUUCCAUAUUUCUAUUGAAAACAGUUACACUUGUAUUUUAUUUUUUUGACACUUAUGCUUGUAUUUUAUUUUGUUUAACAUGGACACAAACACUUACGCAAGAUCUAAUUUUUUUCCCCAAGACCAUGCCUCUGGGUUGUGAAAAAUAUUUUCAUUUUUGUAAAUGUGCCUCAAGUCAAUCGUUUGAAUUUUAUCAAGUCUAAAAUACUUAUUUGUUGUUUGUUUACCAAAUAUGUUCCUAUCACUUCCCUUGCAAUGUUAAUUCUUGCAAUGUUAAUUCUGAAGCCAUCUGACGACUACUACUACUCAUGUGCAUAUUCUUUGCUGCUGCUAUUGCCCAUUGUGUUGCAUCUGUUACUGCAGGGACUAGCGGUUCAUGUGCACGUUCUGGUUCAAGAUGUGGUGGAUGACACAAAGGAUGGGCUCCUAGGGCCGUGACGUCCCCUUGGAGACGCAGUUCCUCAUCGUCAAAGGGUCGUGGCUCACUGGCGAGCAUCCCGUCGUGUACACCAUCUUCCUCCCCAUACUGGAGGGCUCAUUCUGUGAUAUUCUUCAGUGAAACAUCGGCGAUGAGCUGGAGAUCUGCUAGGCCUAAAGUUUCUUCUCUUGAAGUACAUGGUAUAUUUGGGAGAGAUGAUGUUAUCAAGUCACUUAGAGGCCUCUAUGAAGUCUCAAAAAAUCUGAAGGAAAUUAGGUUCAAGGGUGGAGCUCUUUCUCUUGACAUGUGUUUUACAAGCCUUCAGUUGUGUAAAGAUGCUGCUGAAUCUGAAGAAGCGAAAAUGGCACUUUCUGCUGCAGCUAAGAAAUUUAAGGUUCCUUCUCUGAAAAUCUUAGGGAGAUUGCUGGACACUGUAAUGAAAGAAAGUGGGCUGGUCGCCGUGCAGAAGAUGCUGGAGAGAAGCUCUACAUGUGGGCUCUGAUAAAGAACAAAGAGAGACACUUUCUACACGAAGCAAGCUUUCUAUUGGUGUUGUGUGUCCAUACACUGCUCAAGUUAGAGCAAUACAGGAAAAGGUUGGGAAGGCCUGCGGGAGGAAUGAUUAUUUCUCAGUGAAAGUAAAAUUUGUGGAUGGUUUCCAAGGCGCGGAGGAAGAUAUAAUUAUCAUAUCAAUAGUCAGGAGUAAUGGAGCUGGUACAGUUGGGUUUCUAUCAAACUUACAGAGGACUAACGUGGCUCUAACAAGGGCCAAGCAUUGCUUAUGGAUUGUGGGGAAUGGAACCACUCUGUUCAACAGCAAUUCCGUUUGGCAAAAGAUUGUCAAGGACACAAGGGAUAGAGGUUGUUUUUUAAUGCCACUGAUGAGAAGGAGUUGCUGAAUGCAAUUUUCAAGCCUGCUGUUGAGUAUCCUCACGCGGACAAUUUAGCUGGCGAGGAGACAAGGCAACGAUUGAGUACCAGGAUGAGUUGAGAUGGGGAAAUUGUCUAUUCAAUGUCGCUGAGGCAAUAGUUACAAGAUCCUAGAAGAUAACCCGUGGCAGCUCUACUCUACAAUAAGGGUGAUAAAGAUGUCUCGCCCAAUGGAAGAUAUCAUAUUUAGACAUGAUCAAGGUAGCAAGAUGUUGACCCCAUGGGUCCUUUUGGUGGAAUAAUGAUAGAGUGCGGCACCAAUCAACCUAUUGAGAAAGUGCUUGCAGUUGAAGAUGCAGGUCUAAUGCUUGGAUUUUUUAACAUAGAUGCUGCAUAGCUUUAGCCUUAUUGAUGCUUGAGUUGCUACCACUGAAGAUCUUUUGAACUACAGUUUUCACAAGCACACAUUAUAUUUUUCCUUCAUAACGACUGAUGUAAGAAGGGCAGGCUUGGUGCAGUGGUGAGAGUUGUCUCACUGAGUCACCAGGCCAUGGGUUCGAAACAGCCUUAUGGGGGGUCUGCCCUUUGUUAUUCAUAACGACUAAUGUAGUUAUGUGUGUUGUC